rnacentral:rRNA from 1 species
CGCGAAUGGCUCAUUACAACAGCUAUAAUUUACUUGAUCUUGACACAAUCCUACUUGGAUAACUGUGGUAAUUCUAGAGCUAAUACAUGCAUUAAAGCUCUGACCUCACGGGAAGAGUGCAUUUAUUAGAACAAAACCAAGCGGCUUCGGCUGUUUCUGGUUGACUCAUAGUAACUGAGCUGAUCGCAUGGUCUUGCACCGGCGACGUGUCUUUCAAGUAUCUGCCGUAUCAACUUUCGAUGGUAGUGUAUCUGACUACCAUGGUGAUCACGCGUAACGGAGAAUAAGGGUUCGGCUCCGGAGAGUUCGCCUGAGAAAUCGCGAACACAUCUAAGGAAGGCAGCAGGCGCGAAAAUUACCCACUCUCAGCACGAGGAGGUAGUGACGAAAAAUAACGAGACCGUUCUCUUAUGAGGCCGGUCAUCGGAAUGGGUACAAUUUAAACCCUUUAACGAGUAUCUAUGAGAGGGCAAGUCUGGUGCAGCAGCCGCGGUAAUUCCAGCU